GGCCGCCUGGCGAAAUGGCAUCGCGUCUGACUACGAUUGCAUUCUUAUCAGGAGAUUGCAGGUUCGACCCCUGCGGUGGUCA
rnacentral:tRNA from 2 species